AUGAACGCUGGCGGCAUGCCUAACACAUGCAAGUCGAACGAAGGCUUCGGCCUUAGUGGCGCACGGGUGCGUAACGCGUGGGAAUCUGCCCUUGGGUUCGGAAUAACUCGCCGAAAGGCGUGCUAAUACCGAAUGAUGACGUAAGUCCAAAGAUUUAUCGCCCAGGGAUGAGCCCGCGUAGGAUUAGCUUGUUGGUGAGGUAAAAGCUCACCAAGGCGACGAUCCUUAGCNGGUCUGAGAGGAUGAUCAGCCACACUGGGACUGAGACACGGCCCAGACUCCUACGGGAGGCAGCAGUGGGGAAUAUUGGACAAUGGGCGAAAGCCUGAUCCAGCAAUGCCGCGUGAGUGAUGAAGGCCUUAGGGUUGUAAAGCUCUUUUACCCGGGAUGAUAAUGACAGUACCGGGAGAAUAAGCUCCGGCUAACUUCGUGCCAGCCGCCGCGGUAAC
rnacentral:rRNA from 1 species